ACGGCUCAGUAACACGUAGUCAAUCUACCCUAUGGACGGGAAUAACCUCGGGAAACUGAGAAUAAUGCCCGAUAGAACAUUAUGCCUGGAAUGGUUUAUGUUUCAAAUGAUUUAUCGCCAUAGGAUGGGACUGCGGCCUAUCAGUUUGUUGGUGAGGUAAUGGCCCACCAAGACUAUUACAGGUACGGGCUCUGAGAGGGGUAGUCCGGAGAUGGGUACUGAGACACGGACCCAGGCCCUAUGGGGCGCAGCAGGCGAGAAAACUUUGCAAUGUGCGAAAGCACGACAAGGUUAAUCCGAGUGGUUUCUGCUAAAGAAACCUUUUAUCAGUCCUAGAAACACUAAUGAAUAAGGGGUGGGCAAGUUCUGGUGUCAGCCGCCGCGGUAAAACCAGCACCUCAAGUGGUCAGGAUGAUUAUUGGGCCUAAAGCAUCCGUAGCUCGUUUUGUAAGUUUUCGGUUAAAUCCAUGCGCUUAACGUAUGGGCUGCCGGGAAUACUGCAUAACUAGGAAGUGGGAGAGGUAGACGGUACUCGGUAGGAAGGGGUAAAAUCCUUUGAUCUAUUGAUGACUACCUGUGGCGAAGGCGGUCUACCAGAACACGUUCGACGGUGAGGGAUGAAAGCUGGGGGAGCAAACCGGAUUAGAUACCCGGGUAGUCCCAGCUGUAAACUAUGCAAACUCAGUGAUGCAUUGGCUUGUGGCCAAUGCAGUGCUGCAGGGAAGCCGUUAAGUUUGCCGCCUGGGAAGUACGUACGCAAGUAUGAAACUUAAAGGAAUUGGCGGGGGAGCAC
rnacentral:rRNA from 1 species